CCUCCCCUAACCCGACAACACUGGGCCAAUUGUGUGCCACCUCAUGGGUCUGCCAGUUGCGGCCGGCUGCAACACAGCCUGGAAUCAAACCCGGGUCUGUAGUGAUGCCUAUCGCACUGUUAUAAAGUCCUUAGAUUGCUGCGCCACUCGGGAGGCCAAUAGUUGAAGAGUUUUGAACAAAUUAAUUUAUUCAAAAUGAAGGAGAAGCAGAGAGAGAGAUUUCUUCAUUUUAUUUCACUUUCAGUUUCACUCACUUAGCUAGCAAAUGCAGCUAGAUAGUUUAGCCUACUCAAACACCCUACUCAACCGAGGGAUGCCAUGUUAGCUAGCUGGCUAUGACUAUCCAACACAACACUGGAACUCUUCCAAGUCAAGUCCAACAUCACAGGCUGGCUGCACAAGGCUCUGCAGACGGACAAGACUAACGGACAGGAAGAUAAGGAGACAGGCUGAUUAAGAUGGGUACCACCAGACCACCGUCACAGCCAUAGUCUUCCUGGUAUCAUAUAGAUCAGGGAUGGGCAACUGUUGGGGGCGGGGCCAUCAUGAGGGGCCGCAGUUGCUUGUGGGUCUGCGUACACACGUGCGUACCCCCCACCACCUUGCGAGGAAAACAUAUGUGCAGCCCCCAUCUUGACAGCGGAGAUUAAAAAAACAACAUUUUAGAGCAAAUUUUCGUGCAAUUCUACACAUUUUGCCAUGGGGUGUAGAGAAAAUGUUGAAGUUUUAAAGCAAGUUUGCUGGAAUUGUAUACAUUCUGCCAUGGGACGGAGAGGAACAUUUGCUGUUUUACAGCUAAUUUCCUGCAAUUCUACACAUUUUGUCACAGGGUGGAGAGAAAUGUUUGCAGUUUGAUAUCUGAGUGAGACUGACUAACAAAAUCAUUGGGGGCCCCCGGCAGGUAAAUUGACUAUGAUUACUAAGUUUAGAUCGCUGGCCGCUAGACUAAUUCACCAAUCAAAUUUUUUUUAGCUAACAUGGGCUAAUUGAGUGACUAUCAGUGACUGACAUAAGAGGAAAAACUGAUGAUGCACAACUACGUUUUGAAAUUGCACCUUGCGCAUUCUACUAUUCUAACUUGCUACAGUAAGUCAAGACCCUGAAUGAGUUUUGCUAAAACAAUUACAUUGUUCCGAGGGCCUUCAAAAGGGUGGCCGCCAGUUGCCCAUCCCUGAUAUAGAUAUACCGUAUCCCUGUUUGUCGCAUCAGCCUGAAUUUCUUUCAUUUUUGAUGGCCUUGAGAUAGAAGCUGUUUUUCAAUCUUUCUGUCCCAGCUUUGAUGCACCUGUACUGACCUCGCCUUCUGGAUGGAAGCAGGGUGAACAGGCAGUGGCUCGUGUGGUUAUUGUCCUUGAUUAUCUUUUUUGCCUUCCUGUGACUUAGGUUUUGUAGGUGUCCUGGAGGGCAGGUAGUUUGCCCCUGGUGAUGCGUUGUGCAGAACGCACCACCCUCUGGAGAGCCCUGCAGUUGUGGGUGGUGCAGUUGCCAUACCAGGUGGUGAUACAGCCCGACAAGAUGCUCUCAAUUGUGCACCUGUAAAAGUUAGUGAGGGUUUUUGGUGACAAGCCACAUUUUUUCAGCAUCCUGAGGUUGAAGAGGAGCUGUUGCGCCUUCUUCACCACACUGUCUGUGUGCGUGGACCAUUUCAGUUUGUUGGUGAUAUGUACACCGAGGAACUUAACACUUUCCACCUUCUCCACUGCUGUCCCGUUGAUGUGGAUAGCAGGGUGCUCCCUCUGCUGUUUCCUGAAGUCCACAUACUGUCAGGAGAGAGAAGCUGACAUCUGGUUUGUCCUCUCUCUCCUCACAUCGGAUGUGUGUGGGUGCCCAGAUCGACGAGACCUUCAAAGAGCAGGUCCUGAAGGUCUAUUUAAAAUAGAUGAACUCAAACUAACGUCUUCACUGAUCCUCAACACUGGCGCCCCACAAAGGUGCGUGCUCAGCCCCCUCCUGUUCUCCCUGUUCACCCAUGACUGCGUGGACAUGCACGCCUCCAACUCAAUCAUGAAGUUUGCAGACAACACAACAGUAGUGGGCUUCAUUACCAACAACGACGAGACAGCCUACAGGGAGGAGGUGAGGGCACUCGGAGUGUGGUGUCAGGAAAACAACCUCUCACUCAACGUCAACAAAACAAAGGAGAUGAUCGUGGACUUCAGGAAACAGCAGAGGGAGCACACCCCUAUCCACAUCGAUGGGACAGCAGUUGAUAAGGUGGAAAGUUUUAAGCUUCUAUCUCAAGUCCAUCAGACUGUUAAACAGCCAUCACUAACACAGAGAGGCUGCUGCCUACAUACAGACUUGAAAUCAUUGGCCACUUUAAUAAAUGGAUCACUAGUCACUUUAAUAAUGCCACUUUAAUAAUGUUUACAUAUGUUGCAUUACUCAUCUCAUAUGUAUAUACUGUAUUUUAUACCAUCUAUUGCAUCUUGCCUAUGCCACUCGAUCAUCCAUAUAUUUAUAUAUUCUUAUUCCAUCCGUUUACUUAGAUUUGUGUGUAAUAGGUAGUUGCUGUGGAAGUGUUAGAUUACUUGUUUGAUGUUACUGCACUGUCGGAACUAGAAGC
rnacentral:lncRNA from 1 species